AGAGUUUGAUCCUGGCUCAGGAUGAACGCUGGCGGCGUGCCUAAUACAUGCAAGUCGAGCGAACGGACGAGAAGCUUGCUUCUCUGAUGUUAGCGGCGGACGGGUGAGUAACACGUGGAUAACCUACCUAUAAGACUGGGAUAACUUCGGGAAACCGGAGCUAAUACCGGAUAAUAUUUUGAACCGCAUGGUUCAAAAGUGAAAGACGGUCUUGCUGUCACUUAUAGAUGGAUCCGCGCUGCAUUAGCUAGUUGGUAAGGUAACGGCUUACCAAGGCAACGAUGCAUAGCCGACCUGAGAGGGUGAUCGGCCACACUGGAACUGAGACACGGUCCAGACUCCUACGGGAGGCAGCAGUAGGGAAUCUUCCGCAAUGGGCGAAAGCCUGACGGAGCAACGCCGCGUGAGUGAUGAAGGUCUUCGGAUCGUAAAACUCUGUUAUUAGGGAAGAACAUAUGUGUAAGUAACUGUGCACAUCUUGACGGUACCUAAUCAGAAAGCCACGGCUAACUACGUGCCAGCAGCCGCGGUAAUACGUAGGUGGCAAGCGUUAUCCGGAAUUAUUGGGUGUAAAGCGCGCGUAGGCGGUUUUUUAAGUCUGAUGUGAAAGCCCACGGCUCAACCGUGGAGGGUCAUUGGAAACUGGAAAACUUGAGUGCAGAAGAGGAAAGUGGAAUUCCAUGUGUAGCGGUGAAAUGCGCAGAGAUAUGGAGGAACACCAGUGGCGAAGGCGACUUUCUGGUCUGCAACUGACGCUGAUGUGCGAAAGCGUGGGGAUCAAACAGGAUUAGAUACCCUGGUAGUCCACGCCGUAAACGAUGAGUGCUAAGUGUUAGGGGGUUUCCGCCCCUUAGUGCUGCAGCUAACGCAUUAAGCACUCCGCCUGGGGAGUACGACCGCAAGGUUGAAACUCAAAGGAAUUGACGGGGACCCGCACAAGCGGUGGAGCAUGUGGUUUAAUUCGAAGCAACGCGAAGAACCUUACCAAAUCUUGACAUCCUUUGACAACUCUAGAGAUAGAGCCUUCCCCUUCGGGGGACAAAGUGACAGGUGGUGCAUGGUUGUCGUCAGCUCGUGUCGUGAGAUGUUGGGUUAAGUCCCGCAACGAGCGCAACCCUUAAGCUUAGUUGCCAUCAUUAAGUUGGGCACUCUAAGUUGACUGCCGGUGACAAACCGGAGGAAGGUGGGGAUGACGUCAAAUCAUCAUGCCCCUUAUGAUUUGGGCUACACACGUGCUACAAUGGACAAUACAAAGGGCAGCGAAACCGCGAGGUCAAGCAAAUCCCAUAAAGUUGUUCUCAGUUCGGAUUGUAGUCUGCAACUCGACUACAUGAAGCUGGAAUCGCUAGUAAUCGUAGAUCAGCAUGCUACGGUGAAUACGUUCCCGGGUCUUGUACACACCGCCCGUCACACCACGAGAGUUUGUAACACCCGAAGCCGGUGGAGUAACCUUUUAGGAGCUAGCCGUCGAAGGUGGGACAAAUGAUUGGGGUGAAGUCGUAACAAGGUAGCCGUAUCGGAAGGUGCGGCUGGAUCACCU
rnacentral:rRNA from 2 species